CCGGCACGGGUGAGUAACACGUAUGCAAUCCACCUGUAACAGGGGGAUAACCCGGAGAAAUCCGGACUAAUACCCCAUAAUAUGGGCGCUCCGCAUGGAGAGUCCAUUAAAGAGAGCAAUCUUGGUUACAGACGAGCAUGCGCUCCAUUAGCCAGUUGGCGGGGUAACGGCCCACCAAGGCGACGAUGGAUAGGGGUUCUGGGAGGAAGGUCCCCCACAUUGGAACUGAGACACGGUCCAA
rnacentral:rRNA from 1 species